AUUUGGGAAUUACCAUUCAUAGAUGGCAUUCCAGCAAGAUGCAUAACUCAUGCACACAAUUUUUUUUUUCUUAUUCCUUUUCUGCCAUCUCUUAUUUAGAUUUGUGUAAUUGGUUGGCUUAAAGACGGUUUACAAGGCAGGGCUCUGUAUUCAUCUUCAGAUUGGUCCAUAUAUUUGUUCAGAAUGGAAUUUUGGCAAAGUGCAGGCACAUCAAUGCCAUCAGAUUUGGGCUGAAUAUUUACAUCUCUGCCACUGACCACAAUUUGGGUUUUUUAGGGCUGUUGGUUUUGGGCCCGAAGUGGGCUUCGGUGGUGACCAUUGAAUGGGUUAAAGCUCUAAACAUCAAAUGCCUAUUUUACCCUAUCUACAUUCUAAAUCCAACCGACCGGAUUGGAAAUUUCAUGGGUAUUUUGGUCAUUCUCCGUUUGGGAGAGCGAUUGAGGGAGCAGGUGAGGGAUGUGCCAGUGUUGCGGAGGGUGAGGGAGGAAAUUGAGGGAAGUCAUCACUGACCCGAUUGAGUGAGGGAUUUUGUGAGGAUUCCACUGACCCGAUUGACUGAGGAUGGUCUGACAUUCGGUAAGGCAAAAACAGAAGGAGAGAGGCGGGUUGCAGAGGCAGAGAGAAAGAGGGAGGGGUGGGGGCACUGAACAGGAGCAAGUAAGGCUCUUCUGAACAGGAGCAAGCAAGGUGUUUUGAUGCCUUACUUUGGCGGUGAAAGGAAGGGUCACAUUUAGAGAGAGAGGUUUCCUUUCGCGCACAUUACCGUUUCGAUCGCUUCGACAGCAAGCCGCCGCCACCACCAUCUAGAACAAAAAAUAAACACCCGCCACUGCUCUUCAGCCAUCGUCUCCGGCGAUCCAUUCAAAUCUCCGAUCGAAACAUGGCUUUGUAUCUGAAUUAUUGCUGAAAUUGUGUGAUGGGUUGAAUGCAAAGAGAAACUUAGGGAAAGAUGAGCGACGUAUUCGAAGGGUACGAGCGCCACUACAGUGAGCUCUCCGCCAACCUCACCAAAAAGUGUACAGUAGCUGGUGCUCUCAAUAGA